rnacentral:rRNA from 1 species
GCAGUAGCCGCGGUAAUACAGAGGGUGCGAGCGUUAAUCGGAUUUACUGGGCGUAAAGCGUGCGUAGGCGGCUUUUUAAGUCGGAUGUGAAAUCCCUGAGCUUAACUUAGGAAUUGCAUUCGAUACUGGGAAGCUAGAGUAUGGGAGAGGAUGGUAGAAUUCCAGGUGUAGCGGUGAAAUGCGUAGAGAUCUGGAGGAAUACCGAUGGCGAAGGCAGCCAUCUGGCCUAAUACUGACGCUGAGGUACGAAAGCAUGGGGAGCAAACAGGAUUAGAUACCCCUGUAGUCCCUGUCUCUUAUAC